rnacentral:rRNA from 1 species
ACACUCCUGCGGGAGGCAGCAGUGGGGAAUAUUGGACAAUGGGGGCAACCCUGAUCCAGCCAUGCCGCGUGAGUGAUGAAGGCCCUAGGGUUGUAAAGCUCUUUUGUGCGGGAAGAUAAUGACGGUACCGCAAGAAUAAGCCCCGGCUAACUUCGUGCCAGCAGCCGCGGUAAUACGAAGGGGGCUAGCGUUGCUCGGAAUCACUGGGCGUAAAGGGUGCGUAGGCGGGUCUUUAAGUCAGGGGUGAAAUCCUGGAGCUCAACUCCAGAACUGCCUUUGAUACUGAGGAUCUUGAGUCCGGAAGAGGUAAGUGGAACUGCGAGUGUAGAGGUGAAAUUCGUAGAUAUUCGCAAGAACACCAGUGGCGAAGGCGGCUCACUGGUCCGGUACUGACGCUGAGGCACGAAAGCGUGGGGAGCAAACAGGAUUAGAAACCCCUGUAGUCCCAUG